rnacentral:rRNA from 1 species
UAGUCCACGCCCUAAACGAUGUUCACUGGAUGUAUGGAUUUAUUUUGUGCAUCUGAGCGAAAGCAUUAAGUGAACCACCUGGGGAGUACGUCGGCAACGAUGAAACUCAAAGGAAUUGACGGGGGCCCGCACAAGCGGUGGAGCAUGUGGUUUAAUUCGAUGAUACGCGAGGAACCUUACCAGGGCUUAAAUGCAUAUUGACAGGUCUAGAGAUAGAUUUUCCUUCGGGCAAUUUGCAAGGUGCUGCAUGGUUGUCGUCAGCUCGUGCCGUGAGGUGUCAGGUUAAGUCCUAUAACGAGCGCAACCCCUACCGUUAGUUGCCAGCGAGUCAUGUCGGGGACUCUAACGGGACUGCCGGUGCAAACCGCGAGGAAGGUGGGGACGACGUCAAAUCAUCACGGGCCCUUACGUCCUGGGGCCACACACGUGCUACAAUGGCCGGUACAGAGAGCAGCCACGCCGCAA